UUUUUUUUCCCCUUCUCCCUCUCGUCUCUAUUUCUUCUUCUCCCAAAAUACCGUUACCCCCUCUUCGCUCUAGUUCUUCUUGUCCCAAAAUACCGGGUCCCCCUCUUCGCUCUAAUUCUUCUUGUCCCCAAAAAAACCG